AGGGUUUCUCCGUGUAGCCCAGCUGUCCUGGAAUCCAUUCUAUAGACCAGGCUGACCUUGAACUUGCAGAGAUCCUCCCACUUCUGCCUCUGAGAGCUAUAAUCAAAGUGAAGACACCUUGUGUGACAACGAUCUGUUGACACUUGAUCUGAGGUUUGACAUGGGGUCUGUCUCAGAAAGUGCUCUACCUGUGCUCAAGAAGAACAUGAAGCAGGAGCGGUGGAGCUCACUCUGCUGCGAGGUGCUGUGCUCGUCUUCUUUCCUUGCUUCUCCACUCUCUGGAUGCUCUACCAUGGCACCACUGGAAUUGGGUGCUGACAUCUCCAGCUGCUGUCGUUGGUCAAUGCAUCCCUCUCUGCAAACCUGUCAAUAUGUACUUCAGAUGUCUGCACGGUUCAUUGAGCCUCAGCAAGAGCCCAAGGUCAGCCCUGUGGGUUAGGUGUCACCUGACUUCAGCUGUCCUGCAGAAUGACAGAGGGAUGGGACAGCCAGACCGCCAGAGGUAACAUCAGUGAAGAAGCCACAGGGUGGGGGACUGCAAGCCCUGAGCUUACUGCUGAAAAGUCAGGGAGGGACGUGAGCAUACCAACUUAAGGGCUGUGGUUAAGAUAGAGAUAUCUGUACUUCCAAAAACUGAGGCUAAUACUAGCGAUAACCCUGGAAACCUGUGAGAUAUGAUUUGAAUGGGAACACAGAUCUACUUAGAAGCUAGUGGAAAGAAAGGUGACUUAGGGACUAUCCCCACCCAUACAACCCAAGAUGUCCUCCCUACACUGCUGCCUGGUGCUUUGGAUGCCUUGGACUCAUUGGUGCCUCCUCCUCUUCCUCCUCCUCUUCCUCUUCUCCCUCCUCUUCCUCCCCCUCCCCCUCCCCCUCCUCCUCCUCCUCCCAUUAUCUGGGCCUUCUUAGGAAGUGCC
rnacentral:lncRNA from 1 species